rnacentral:rRNA from 1 species
UGGGGAAUAUUGGGCAAUGGGCGAAAGCCUGACCCAGCAACGCCGCGUGAGGGAAGAAGGGUUUCGGCUCGUAAACCUCUGUCCUAUGGGACGAAGAAGAUGACGGUACCAUAGGAGGAAGCCCCGGCUAACUACGUGCCAGCAGCCGCGGUAAUACGUAGGGGGCGAGCGUUGUCCGGAAUGAUUGGGCGUAAAGGGCGCGUAGGCGGCCCGUUAAGUCUGGAGUGAAAGUCCUGCUUUCAAGGUGGGAAUUGCUUUGGAUACUGAUGGGCUGGAGUGCAGGAGAGGAAAGCGGAAUUACCGGUGUAGCGGUGAAAUGCGUAGAGAUCGGUAGGAACACCAGUGGCGAAGGCGGCUUUCUGGACUGAAACUGACGCUGAGGCGCGAAAGCGUGGGGAGCAAACAGGAUUAGAUACCC